AGCAAUUCAGGAGCAACUGGAUUAUUCACGUGUUGACUGGGAAAAAAAAAACAAAAAACCUAAAAGUUUCUAGUUAUGUUUUAUUUGGGGAACUUACUAAGCACCAUAGCCCAGGAGACAGCCUCUCAGAGAAUUCUGAAGGACGGUGCCAAAGAGGGCCAGUAUCCUAUUUUUCUCCGUCCCGAAUUCCCACCAGGGUGCACCGUCGUCUGAUGGCUUGAUGGAAGUACGCGGGCCUCUCACUGCUGUGGCCUCUCCCGUUGCGGAGCACAGGUUCCGGACGCGCAGGCUCAGCGGCCAUGGCUCACGGGCCCAGCCGCUCCGCGGCACGUGGGAUCCUCCCGGACCGGGGCGCGAACCCGUGUCCCCUGCAUCGGCAGGCGGACUCUCAACCACUGCGCCACCCGGGAAGCCCGGUAACGUUCUUUGUUAACUGAAAUGGCAGGCAACAUGUUUUUCAUCCACUCAGGUCUGCUCAAGUUUUCUCAUGAGGCUGCUUCCAGACGGUGACCAGGGCUGCCCUCAUGAGAAGGUUCCGGGUGCUGCAGGGUCCACGUCCGUAUCUGCUCCCUCAUGGGGCUGGUGCCGGCCGGCGGUGGGAGGCCUCAGCUCCUCUCCGUGUGGGCCUCUCCAAGAGGCUUGCGUGUCCUUAUGGUGUGACGGCUUCCUCCAGAGCAACUGACCCAAGGGAACCAGGCAGAAGCUGCAAUACCUUCUGUGACCUCACCUCAGAAGGCACUGAGUGUCACACCGUAGUCUCUCGGCCUCACGCGGCAGUCUUGAUUCAGUGUGGGAGAGGCUUACACAAGGUGUGAACACCAAGGGGGCCCUCCUGGAGACUGGCUAUGGCACCAAGCUUAGUUCAACAGCAAUCUAUUUAAAGCAACUCACCUAGAAUUAAUCUUUUUCAAAGCAUUUAAUUUAGCAUUCAGAGAAACAACUCUUUAAAUCCACAUUUUAUCAUUUUAUGUAUGUUUAAUAACAAGCAUAACUGACAUAAGUGGAUUUGGGGAUGUAACAGACUGACAGGGGGACAGGUACAAGCAGCCGUAGCGGCCCGAUGACGCGGGCACACCAGGGAGGCGCUGCAGUCGAGAACUGGCAGCACCAGUGGGCAGCACCUGGAGCGGCAGAGCAUCAGUUAAAUGGAGCCUAAGGUACUGUCAGGUGCCCCCGGAACCUUCGAGAGGGUUGAAGAGUCUGUGUGCCCAGGCCCACU